AAACAGGAAGCUAGGAGGGGAGCGCACAGCUGCUCCUUUCAUAUUCUGAACUGCCCCAUAGUGGGCACUGACCUUGGUUCAGCUCAACAGCAGGAGCAGGUUCAACUUUUUAUGCAAGAUUCUUCAGCCUCAGUGUCCACUGGGGUCACUUCUAUAUUUGUGUGGCCUAAUCUAGUUCAUGGCAGAAAGCUGCCCAUAAAGUGAGCAAUUUCCUUUGCCAUGUGCUCCUAUCAUGACAUACUGACUCACCACAGGCCCCAAAAUAAUGGAACCAACUGAUCAAGGACUGCAACCUUCUGAAAUUGUGAGCCAAAAAUAAACCUUUUCUCAUUUUAAAUUAA